rnacentral:rRNA from 1 species
AUUGAACGCUGGCGGCAGGCCUAACACAUGCAAGUCGAGCGAGCGGCGGACGGGUGAGUAAUGUCUGGGAAACUGCCUGACGGAGGGGGAUAACUACUGGAAACGGUAGCUAAUACCGCAUACCAUCAGAUGUGCCCAGAUGGGAUUAGCUAGUGGGUGGGGUAAUGGCUCACCUAUGCGACGAUCCCUAGCUGGGCUGAGAGGAUGACCAGCCACGCUGGAACUGGGACAGGGUCCAGACUCCUACGGGAGGAAGCAGUGGGGAAUAUUGCACAAGGGGCGCAAGCCUGAUGCGGCCAUGCGGCGGAUGUGAAGAAGGCCUUCGGGUUUUAAAGCACUUUCAGCGGGGAGGCGUUACCCGAAGAAGAAGCACCGGCUAACUCCGUGCCAGCAGCCGCGGUAAUAC